GCUGUGAUGGCACCGUGAGUGCUGUGGAGGGGUGACAUGGAGACUGCAGUGUAGAGGAGCUCUGGGCAGUGGGGUGAGGCACAUCCCUCUGCUUGAGGCCACCGGGACCCUGUGGUGGUGGCUGCAGGUUUCAGUGUGUGGACCUGAUGGGUGCUCGGUGCCAAGAUAGCUCCUCUGCUUCACCUGUGGGCCCCAGCGCUGCCACAGAUACUUCCAUUCGCUCCAAUGUGUGCAGGAGAAUGCUCUACUUCUGCAUUUUGCUGAUUGCUCACCCUGAAGCCAUCCUGGAGCUGAGGAACCAAGGCGCAUUUCGCUCCAUCUCUCGUUGUUUGGGGUUGCUCUGCAUUCCUGCCCUGAGAUGGCUCUCAGACAAGGAACACCACAGCCCCAUGGGAAAGGCUGCUCCUGUGCUGUCCUUUGGCCUCUGCGAAAGGGGAAAAUGUCAGGAAUUUCCCAACAUCAUCUUCAGCUGUUGGUUCUCCAUCUGAACUGUCCAGAGCUGGAUGGGAUGGACAAGAACCAGCACUUGUUGGUUUGCUGCUCCACCACUUGCUCUGAGGUCAUCUUUGACAGGGAUUAAAAAAAAAACACAACAAAAACACAUUCAGACAAAAUUCACUUUAUGCUUUUGUGUUUUUUCUUUUUCUUGUGGUUCCCACUGACACAAUUGCAUUGGGCAGUGUGUGAGGUUGGUGUGCAAGGGACCAUCUGCAUGGAGCGGGG
ensembl:lncRNA